UUGGGAGGUGGGGCGUCUAGGAGGGCGCGUACGACGAAUGAACGCGAGUAUUAGCAGCGACAUACGUCUCUUCUACAUAACCUGUUUAGACGAAUUUUGCGAGAUAUUACUUCUCCGGAUAAAUCGCGAGUUGAGAGAGACAUACACGAGUCUAUAACGCAACGUUCGUGAUUGUUAAUCGUUCAAGAAGAAUAACGAAAAGAUUAAUAUAUUAUAAAUAAACGUAAGAAACUUUAUAGGAAUAAAACAUAACAAACUAUAGUUUUCUUCAUUUCAAUCUCGUUUUAUUCCUCCUCGCCAUAUUUCACGAUAGAAUAACGCGUAGAAGUAACGGAGAAAAAAAGUAGUGGUUUAUCGUUGAGAAUGAAGAGCUGAGAAAUAAACUUGUGGCAGUUAGAGUUGGAGCGAUGAGCGGUUCUCGGCUUGGAAGAGGCCGAGGUGGUCGCCUGGCCGUGUACGGGGGUUGUGGGGUGGUGAUCAUACUUUUGGUCUUCCUUUACCGCGCCGCCACCUCAGAGAUGGCCAGGCUACGUGAACUUCACAUACAAUGCGUUCAUCAACACGAGUCACUCGCUGCACAACUUCAAGUUAUAUUCGAGUACAAGGUGCGAUUAGAAAAAUCAUUGGCCGAGGAAAAGAGUUCUAAUGCAAUGGUGAAACAGGAAUUACAGCAACGUGCCUCGCGUGAAAAAUCAUUGAGAGACAAGGACAGUAUAGAGGCUAUGCAAAGAUUUAAAUCUCUUCAACAGACCUAUAAGAUUCUUGAAACCGAGCAUCAGGAUCUUCAAGAAGAGUGUAAGAAACAAGAGAGUCAGGCAUUGGAGGAAAGGAACAAAUUGGAAUCUACUCAUAAGGAUCUUAUCAGGCAAACUAACGAGAAUAAAGAUAAAAUUAUAAGUGAGAAGGAAAAGACGUUGGAAAAUUUUAAAAACAAAUAUUUUGAAUUGGAAACGUUAAAGAACAGAUUGGCUAUGCAGUACAAUGAUUUAAUUAAGAAUAAUGAUAAUACCGACAGUACUAUAGAACAUAUGAGAAAGGAAAUAUUUCAACUGAGAGCAAAAUUGGAUGAAACAAAGAAACGAUGCAAAUCCACUUUAGCGGAAACAAGUUUGGUUAGUCCUAAAGAAUCACAGCAGCCAAAUGAUCAAAACUUGAUGGUUAAGGAAGUGAUAGAUCCGACACAACAAGUAGAACAACAACAACAGCAGGAGGAGGAGCAACAACAACAACAACAACAGCAGCAGCAACAGCAACAGGCUCAACAACAAAACAUGCAGGCAAUUGUUUCAUCGAGCUCGAUGAAGACGAUAUCAUCAUUGAAAUUGGAAACAACCACAAAAUCCAACACUAAUAUUGAUUCCGUAUCUUCGAACAAAGUUUUCAAGACAUCAUCGAAGGUGAAAAUUCCACCUGGCGUAUUACCGAUUCUUAUGAUAAUGGAUCAGAAUGUUGUUGAAAAGAUUGAUAAAGAGAAGACCAAUGAUAAAAAACAAGCAAAGAAAAAUGAUGAAAAUGGACAGAAUAUUAUAACUUUAAAGAAGAAAAACAUUGUGCCAGAAGUAAAUAGUAAAGAAAAAGAAAAUGAAAUAGAUAAGGAUAACGAUAACGAUAACGAUAACGAUAACAAUAUAGAUUCACCAUAUAAAGUUUUAUCGGCAAACAAAUAUGGCGAUGAUCAGAACGUUGCUGCUAGACGACAAAAUGGCAAUUGGUUUAAGGUGAAACCAGGUGUACAGGAAUUUGGGGAGGAGCCUAAUCCGAUCGAUCGAUUAGCUGGAUUGGAAAACAUAGUUGGUAGACAAUUUGAUACAGGUGAUGAACAAUACGUUGGUGCCGAUUUUGAACCUCAAGCUCAAAAAGUAGAUGAUUUGCGUUUGGCAGAGGGUGAAGAGGAAGAAGGUAAUAAAUAAUUGGAGAUAUUUAAUCGAUCAUACGAUCGAUGAUACACCACAACAAAAUAAAAAGACGAGGACGAUCCCGAGGAUAUCAUUUGAACGAAACGAGGAUGCGUUAUGUGGUUCGAUGUUAAUAACGAGCGAGAUUAAUUUUUCACGAGACAAAUCAAUCACACUUAUAUACCUUCAUUAUUUUCGAUAGAAUAUCUUUUUCUCGUAGAAAGUAAAUUAGAAAUGAAAACAUUUUUUUUUUUAAAUUAACUUUACGACGAAAGAAAAAAUACAAUACAUAGUUCAAGAUAACGCAACAAUAUUUUGUUAAUGACGAUCGUAAUAAGAAAACUAAAUGUGAAAGUUUCUAAAAAAUAUUAUCAAAGAGCCUAGUUUAUAAAU